CAGGUCCGAGUCACAGCUACAACCUGACAGCUAAAAUCCCUCCUGAGCAUACAGCGGGUCCGGGUUUGUUUCACACACGAAGUCUGUUACAGACGCGUGAGGAUUAAACAGUGAACACGAAGAAAACCCGAACCAACAAUUUGUUCUGCUGCAGACCUGAGUGCUGAGUAAGUGUCUGUGACACAGAAACACACAAAUUACUCUCAUGGCUCAUCUCACACAAAUAUCAGUCAAGCUGAAGACUUGAGUUGGAAAUACUUGAUAAUGAGUGGCUUUAAAGUGCUUACAAAUAGUUGUAUUCUUUUAACUCUUUUUAGUCUGUGCUUACAAAAAGAUAAAAAAUUAUGGUUUUGUCAUUUAUAACACACUCAAAUAAGUCCUGAUCAUUUUGUAUAUUGUUGUGCUAUUUUUACUUGUUGCUCAAUAUGUUUAAGUUUAAGACAACAUUAAGACUCCUCUGUUUCUUUAAACUGCAAAAGAAAAUCUCUAUUAAACAACAGCAUUAUAAAAUAA